AUUGAACGCUGGCGGCAGGCCUAACACAUGCAAGUCGAGCGGAUGAAGGGAGCUUGCUCCUGGAUUCAGCGGCGGACGGGUGAGUAAUGCCUAGGAAUCUGCCUGGCAGUGGGGGAUAACGUCCGGAAACGGGCGCUAAUACCGCAUACGUCCUGAUGGUGAAAGUGGGGGAUCUUCGGACCGCACGCUAUCAGAUGAGCCUAGGUCGGAUUAGCUAGUUGGUGGGGUAAAGGCCUACCAAGGCGACGAUCCGUAACUGGUCUGAGAGGAUGAUCAGUCACAUGGGAACUGAGACACGGUCCAGACUCCUAAGGGAGGCAGCAGUGGGGAAUAUUGGACAAUGGGCGAAAGCCUGAUCCAGCCAUGCCGCGUGUGUGAAGAAGGUCUUCGGAUUGUAAAGCACUUUAAGUUGGGAGGAAGGGCAGUAAGUUAAUACCUUGCUGUUUUGACGGUACCAACAGAAUAAGCACCGGCUAACUACGUG
rnacentral:rRNA from 1 species